rnacentral:rRNA from 1 species
GGUUGACCUCGGAUCAGGUAGAGAUACCCGCUGAACUA